GGUGAGGUACCAAAGCGGUCAAAUGGAUCAGACUGUAAAUCUGACGGCGCAAGCCUUCGAAGGUUCGAAUCCUUCCCUCACCACCA
rnacentral:tRNA from 1 species